CCCAUUGAGACAGUCUCCUGCGGAAGACCUAAUCAAAAGCUCUCCUUCGUGUUCUUUGUUCGUCUUCGAUCUGCGCUGAGAGUAUCGAGAUAUCUCCCACUACGAAUCAACCUAUUGUGCUGUUCGUCUGCUAGAUUGUGUAUAAAUAUGGUGCACUGGAGAUUUAUCUGAUUAUCUAAACCAACAAUGGAAUUUCGUGUUGGUUCUGUGAGACGAAUCUCUGGAUCCAAACACGUUUUUGAUCUACAAUCAGAUCGAGUCCAGACAUAGAAACAAGCUCCAGGAAGAGAAAGUUGAUCCGACAUGGUAAUGGCAACGAGUCUACAGCUUCGUCGUCAACAAAUUCCAAACCAAAGGUUUUUAUUUCACAAUCUCUCCUCUUGCCUUUGACUAUAAAAACUGUUUUUCUUUAUGGAUCGUGAACCGAAUGUAUGAUGGAAUUUGAGUUUUAGUUUAAUGAAAGAUAUUCUCUUGAUAUGUUGAUUUGGAGUUUAUAAUCAGGUUUCAGGAGAGAUUGUAGGAUCUAAGAGAAGCAAGCAGGAUUACAUUCAUGUUAAUACAAAAGUGUGAUGGUAAAUUAACAUAAGGACGAUGCAAAGCAUCUUGAGCCGCCCAAAGAUUACAUUCAUGUUAGAGCUAGAAAGGGUCAGACAAGCAACAGAUAGCCACAGUCUCGCUGAAAGAGUACUAACACCUUCGAGAAAAGUGUUUAUGUUUGUGCUUGGUUGUCAGGCAAUAAGAGAAAAAAUCAGCGAGAGGAUGACUUUACUUCAAGAUCUUAUUCCUGGUAGAAAUCAGACAACAGAGGAAGCAAUUAUGCUUAAUAUAUGCAGUCCUUGCAGCGACAAGAUGAGUUCUUGACCAUGAAACUGGCUAUUAUAUUUAUAAAUCCAAGGAUUGUAACCCUAUAAUGCACAGAGAUGAUUAUACCGUGAGAGUCGUUAACGCAGUCUCUUUAAACAAUAGCUUGCUCAGAGCAAAGACUCCAUCAAGAUACUAUUCUCUUGCCAAGAACAUGCCUAGAUUCUCAGCCACACAAUUGCCCUCAAGCGAUGGAUUUGUUCAACCUAAGACAUGGAUUCUGGGAAAAUGAUCUGCAAAGCUUUUUUCAGAUGAGUUUUGGAGAUGUCCAACAACAGAGCAACAAAAACAAUGGUUCUGAGCCAACACUACAGAUGAAGAUUAAGCCAUGUGAAGAAGAUGUUUUAUUAUAUUUUAUCUGCAUAUAGUUUGCAUAAUCCAUUGGUUUACGGGAACACAACAUAAUCCCCGCAAAAGACAGCAGAGAGGUUUAACUUUUUAUAAAACCAAACAAGGUUUGGAGUCCAAAUGAGCAAAGCAAAAGCAUGGCGAGGUUACUCUCAAACCCUUGCCAACAACCUGAAUCCUUAGUUCAGACAGUCAACAUGUUCCAUCUAUAACCUGUAGGAAAAGAUGAUUGAGUUGACCUGCUAAAAUGUAAUCAAACCAUCGAUAUAUGAAAGUAAAUGAAAUUCAAAUUUUGUUUAUGUU